UUGAGGUCGAAACGACGACGUGGACUGGUAUCGUCUCCUGGAACCAGAACGAGGGCCUUGUUAUUGUAUCGUCGUCUACAGCGCUGCAUGGUGUUUGAUAUGAGCUCCAUUGUUCGACGGACGGUUUGUUUGUGCUGUGGAAGCGAUUGAAAAUUUCGUUAAUCGCAUAGAAAAAUCCUUGUUAAUUCUAAGGCACAGUGGAUUAGUAGACUGGAUGGUUCCAGUUUUCCAGUGCAUGAAAACCCUAAAUCUUCAAUAGUCUAGUGGAUGGGAAAUUGGUUCUCAAAGUCACUGAUAAUAAAGAGGCCUGGUUUAUUGAUGUUUUCUGGAUAGAAAUCAGCUAGAGGGAAGUAUUUCAUCUUCUAGUCUGUGACAUUAAAAUAUGAAGAGCAUGGGGCUGAUCAGCGCAGGCCAUUGGUUAUUGGAUUGUCAUUUUAUUAUUUGUGGAUGUUUUAUUGGAUCACUGAUCCGAGAAUGAUAUCCCACCAUGAUUAUGUUUAGUUGUUGUAUUCCUUUGAUUGGGUUAAUGGACUGACCUAAAAAAAUGUAAUUCAUAUAUGUAGACAUUUUCACGCAAACGAACUUGAGUGAAGUAGUUCAAAAUA